rnacentral:tRNA from 1 species
GUUAAUGUAGUUUAAAAAAAACAUCAGGUUGUGGCUCUGAAAAUAAGGGUGAAACCCCCAUCAUUUACC